UACGAAGGGGGCUAGCGUUGCUCGGAAUUACUGGGCGUAAAGGGAGCGUAGGCGGACUGUUUAGUCAGAGGUGAAAGCCCAGGGCUCAACCCUGGAAUUGCCUUCGAUACUGAGAGUCUUGAGUUCGGAAGAGGUUGGUGGAACUGCGAGUGUAGAGGUGAAAUUCGUAGAUAUUCGCAAGAACACCAGUGGCGAAGGCGGCCAACUGGUCCGAUACUGACGCUGAGGCGCGAAAGCGUGGGGAGCAAACAGG
rnacentral:rRNA from 1 species